CACUGCUCUGGCUGUGCGCCGCUGUGCUGCGGGACGCAUUCAUUCGCGUCGUGCUGAUUGUCGUGUUCUGAUUUGAACUGUUGAUACUGCGGUAGGCUGCACGUUCAUAGUAUCGUUGCUGCUGCCGCUUCGCACAAACUGGAAACGCGCGGCAAUGACACGGCCGUGCAAGAAUCCUCGGAAACCGCGGAGUUGCGGUCGGAAAUCAGUCCGCAAGCUGCGUCGGCGGCUGGCGAGAGAGAAACGUCUGAGGUACAGCACAGGAGUAAAAGGUUGAGGAUGGACAGCGUUCUCUAGAUUACCACAGUGGUGCCAACUUUCACUUGGGCUACCCAAGAGCGUACGAUGUGAUGCGGUUCAGGUCGACCCGGAUGUUAUCAUAAACAUUAUAUGCAUUUACCAAUUUCUAA